rnacentral:lncRNA from 1 species
CAAAGUCAUGAGCACAUGUUUAAGAGGUUAAAAUGGUCGUCAGGGAUGCCUCUGGGCGUGUGAAGCUGGCACCAUAAAGUUUUAACUGCAACUAAAGGAAAAGGCACUUUGAAUUAAUAUUGGUGUUUGCCCCUGGAAGUCCUAGUGUUGCUUAGUGGCUGCAUGGGGAUGAACUGGAGACAGAAAGCAGAAGCUGUAGGGAACUUGCUUCUAUCCACGGCACGCUCUGGCUAUGAUCAAGAUGUAGAACUCUCAGCUCCUUCUCCAGCACCAUGUCUGCCUGUGCACUGCAAUAUUUCCCUCCAUGAUGAUAAUGGACUAUAACUCUGAAACUGUAAGCCAGCCCCACGUUGAAAUACCUUGUUUAAAAAAUACCCAAGAGACCACAGUCUUCAUAGCAUCAAUAUUCAUCAUAGCUAAAACAUGAAAAUAAUCUAGGGGGCUGGAGAGAUGACUCAGCAGUUAAGAGCACUGACUGCUCUUCCAGAGAUCCUGAGUUCAAUACCCAUCAACCACAUGGUGUCUCACAACCAUCUGUAAUGAGAUGUGAUGCCCUCUUCUGGUGUGUCUGAAGACAGCUACAGUGUACUCAUCAUAUAUAUAUAAAACAAAUAAAUAAAAUCUUUUUUAAA